ensembl:lncRNA
CAGGGCCGUUCCUGAGGGUUCCGGCCCCACUGUCUGCUCCGUGGCCUAGUUGGGUGGGGUGUGCAGAGAGGUCCUGGGUCCCGGUGGGCCGGGCCGUGGGCACGGCGCGAGGGGCAGAGAGUGGGGCCCUGUCCCCUCAGAAGCCUCGGCCCCGUGUCUGGGGGCAGCCGGCGCCCAGAGGCCGGCAGAAGAGGCUCCGGAGCCGCAGAGAAGGCCUCUGAGCCCGGAGACCCGCCUGUGGUUCGCCCUCUGGGCCAGACGCAGGGAACGGGGCCCUUUGCUCCUUGUCCCGGUCCUUUGUCACCAAGGGCUGCUCGUUCGCGUCUGCGGGGACAGCAGGAGACUUCCAUCACCUCGGUGAAGGACACGGCCCUGGCCUGGUGAGCCCACAGGAGUCUGGGUGCUGACCAUGUUGUCGGGUGGCCCUCAGGAGGGUGAGCUUUCUGUUCCUCGUUUUGGCCUGUUGCAGGUAAGGUGCCUUGGGGUCCUUUGUGUGUCUUCAGCCAGGAAAGGCUCAGCCGGGCUUUUCUCAGAAUUCCCCGGUGGUGCUGGGAUCGCCCGACAUGCAGUACAAGGUCUGGAGUGGACAGACACUUCUUCUUCAAACUUCCUAUGGUGCUGAGUUUCUAAGGCCCUCGAAUGACAGGGAUUCUGAAGUGGAAAAGGGAAGGACAGAGGGACUUCAGCGUUGCGUUUUACAGGGUUCUCCUGAAAACAAGCAGCAGGAUACACACCCACGUGCACGUGCACACAUACACAGAUGUGUGUAUAGGCAUGUGGAGAGAGAGACUGACUUUAAUAUACUGGCCUGUGUGAGCAUGUGGGCUGGUGAGUCCAAAGUCUGCAGGCCAGGCUUGCAGACUAGAAGCACCUCUGGUGUCUAGAUGCUGUGGUCUAGAGGCAGAUUUUCUUCUUUGGGAAACGUCAGGUUUUGCUCUGAAAGCCUUCAGCUGAUGAGGCCCACCCGCACUGUUGACAGUCAUCUCCUUUCCUUAAAGUUGACUAAUUGCACCUGUUAACCUCGUCGGCAAAACGCCUUCACGGCAACAUGUGACUAAAUGUCCAGUUUGAUUAAACAGCUGCACACUGUGGCCUGGUCAGGUUGACACCUCAGGCUGACCAUCACAGCCCACGCUCCCUCAACGUGGCACCCACUCACAUCUCCUUUAGCUGUAUUAAUCUCCCAGUAAAGACAGGAAGAAGGUCAUUCUUCCUCCUGCCGUGGUCCACCUCUCCUGCGUACAACCCAAAACACACAAAUAUUGUCCCCAAGGCAGAUGCAAAGUCCUUGGGUGAGUUCACUCUUUUCCUUGCUGUUCAACCACUUGAAUAUUAUUAUGUGAAGUUAGCUAUUAUUGAUAAUUAUUUUGUUACAUGUCAUGUUACAUGCUAAGAAGAUAAGGAAGAGAAGAACAGAAUAGUAUUUGAUACACACACACAGUCUACAGUCCUGGAAGGUUUCCUGCAGUGGGGUUCUAGGGCUGGGGCUUCUCUGGAGGCAGUAAGAUGUUUUGUGGUUCUGGAAAGGCAGUCAUCUUGGUGAACUUUUAUCCUCUUGCAGCACCAGCGCCAGCUCUGAAACAAGCUCCAGAGCUAGUGCCAGCUCCUGAACCAGCAUGACCACCAGCUCCAAAGCUAGCAACACCGUGAGUGCUAGAUCUCGCACCAGCUCUAGUGCCAAAUCUGGACUUAGAGCCGGUUCUGGCACAAGCCGAAAAGCUAGGCAGACACACAGCAAACUCUAGCACCAGCUCUUGCAGCAGUUCCCGAGCUGGAGCUCCAGUGCCACUCCCAGAUUUAGUGCCAGCGCUAUCAGCAAAUCUAGUAUGAGCUCACAGCUAGAACUACUUCCAACACGAGAUGCUCAUGUCAAAGCCCUGGAACUACAAGCAGCUCCAGAACUAGCUCUAGCACCAGCUCCAAAGCUAGAACCAGCUUCAUCACUGACUCUGUCACCAACUGCAGAGAGAGAGGAACUCUAUUAUCAACCUAUGAGUCAGCUCCAGCACCAACCCUAACACCAGCUCUAGAGUUUGAAUCAGACCCAACAUAAAUUCCAGAGGAACAGAUCAUGACAGGAACUGAACUGGAGCCUACCCCAGUACCGGCUCUGGCAACACACUAGGACUCCAGGUAGCUGUAGCAUGAGAGCCUUCUCUAGAGCUAGUUUCAGCACCAGAACUAGCUCCAGCACCCAAUUCUAAGCUGGAGAAAGCCCCAGUGCCAGCUCCAGAGCUGGAGCCUACUCCAGCACAAGGUCCAAAACCAGAGCCAAAUUUCACAUGAGCUCCAGCAGAAGGUCGAGUACUUCAGUGGUCUUCAGAGCCAGCUCCAACCAAAGCUCCAGACUCACAGCCACUUGGAGCACCAGUUUCAGCACUCAAUCCUCUGCUAGAGCCGGUUCUAUUACUAGCUCCAGAAUUAGAGGAAGCACCAGCUCCACAGCCAGAGGUGCCUGCAACACGAGCUCUACCAAUAGCUUCAGCACCGGGGUUUGAGCCAGGUCCACAGCUGGAGCCAACUCCAGAUCCAACACUUACAUCAACUCCUGAGAUAUAGCCAGCUCCACCUUCAGCUCCAGUGCUAGUUGCUGGGUCAGAGCUGGUGUUCUCCCAUGAACUAGAGCAUGCUUGAACAGUAGCUAUAGCACCGCUCCACAGAUAGAGGAAGCUCUGCCCCCACGUCCUGGGUCAGCCAUGGGAAUAGUCCCAGUGCUCCCUUUAGAGUGAGAACCAGCUUGAUCCAGCUUCGAGCCAGUUCAAGGUUCCAAGGAAGAGCCAGCUCCAGCACCAGCUCUAGCAUUGGCUCCAGAAUUAGAGCCAUUCCUGGCACCCAGUCCAGAGCUAGAGUCAGCACUAAGUACAGAGCUAGAGGCUGCUUCAUCAACAGUUCUAGACCCAGCUUCAGAGCUAGAGCCCCCACAAGUGCCAGCUCUUGCCCCAGCUCCAGAGUGGGAGCAGGCUUGGCUCCUAGUAGUAGACUUACAGCCAGUGCCAGCUCCAGAGAAAGAACCAGCUCCAGCAACAGCUCUAGCCCCAACAUCAGUGCUAGAGCAGGCUGUGGUAGCAGCUCUAACACCAAUUUCAUAGAGACAGAGGCAGCUCUAUGCUCAACUGCUAUGCCACAGCCUGUAUAUGUCCCAGUGCCAGAAUCUGCCCUGAUUCCAAUUCCAGGGCCAGAGCUACAAACAGCUCCACCACCAGUUUUAGUCCCAGCUACAAAGCUAGAGCUAGGACGGGCAAUACAGCUAAACCACAAGAACCAGAUGUAGGACCAGAACAAGAGUCAGUGCCAACUCCAAAGCCAGAGCCAGCUCAAGCACCAGCUUAAGAGAUCAAGCCAGCUUCAGAAUGAGAACCAGGAGCCUCUACAGACAAAGCCAACUCCAGCACCAGCUAUCACACCAGCAACAAGUCCACCACCUGUUUCACAGCUAGAUCCAUCACUAACUCUAGCACCAGCUGUAACACUAGCGCUCUAGCUGCAUCGGGCUCUGGUAGCAGAUCCACAGCUCAAGCCACUCCAGCACCCCUCAGGAGUCAGCACAAGCUUCAGUGUCAGAUUCAGAACUAGAUCCACAGCCAGCCCCAGAGUCAGAGCCAAAAACAGCAAGAGCUCCAGCAGGAGCUGUAGUGCCAGAGUUACAGCCAGCUCAAGACCUAUAUCCCGCGCACAGCCAGACUACACUAUGUCUGAAGGUAGAUUGAGUGGAACACCUCUUCCAGAGCUAGAGCCAGUGCCAGCUAUGGAGCUAGAGCCAACUCCAACACCGGCUCGUGCAUCCACCCCAGAGGUUGAGCCAGCUCCAGCUUCAGCUCAGGUGCCAGUUCUGGGAUCAGAGGAAUCUUUUGGACUAAAGCCAGCUGCAGCACCAGCUCUAGAACUAGCCCGUGACACCUGCAUCCUGGGUGGGGCCAGGUGUGGGGCUGCGGGAAAGGACAAUUUCCACCAGGGAGAUCACUCUCAGGUACCUUGCUCACCCCCACACCCAGCUCCUGCUCCUCCCUCCGUCCAUGAGGUCUCAGCCCCAGGGUGUCUGUGCCCCUACUUUCCCAAACAAGGCUCAAAGAGGCCUCUGAUGUUGGAAACUGUGGCCAAUACCUUACAAACUGAACAGAGUUUGAUGCAUAAAUUCAACAUCGUGGAUUCUGUCCUAAAUAGAGCUUCAUGGAAGCAGAUGUUCCCUUCAGCAGGAUUCAGAGUGAAAAAUUGGGGACGGCCCGUAUUCCAUGCUGGGGCACUGCAAAAGCUCUGAUGCUGCGCCACAGACAGUACCAAGAGGAAGAGGACUGACAGGCAGUGUCGACCCUGGGCAGAUCAGGCUCUGGAAGAGCACACGCCGUGGAAUCCUCCCUGCCUGACACCCACAAGUGCACACACACAUGUGCACACUUGCGCGCACACUGUACAAGACUUCCUGUGGGCCACACUCCUGGCAUUCGCACUGCCAGCAAAGGUGGGAUCCCGGGGAACUUGGAUGGGUCCUGCAGGCUGUUCUCCCAGAGAGCAGUGUCCUUUCCCCCUGCUCUCCAGGGAUCUGCGGGGGCCUCUGCUUCCCCAAAUUCUCGCCAGGGCUGGUUGCCACCAGACCAGAACCCUCCAGUUUGGUGGUGACCAAUGCUGUCUCCACAGUGUUUACGUUUGCACGUGUCCUCAUGGGGGAGGUCGAGCGUCUCUGGCAUAUGCUGUCCCUAUGUCUCGCCUCUCGGGGAAUUGCAUGUGUUUGCUCUCUGUCCCUUUUAAAACAAUGACUUUCAAGAGUUUUUUGUUGCAGUGAGAGGUUUCACCUUUCUCUGAUCUUGGUUUAGGAGGAAUGCUUUCCAGUUUGUGGUUUGUCUUUCCAGCUCUCUCCAUUUUUCUUGUUUUUGUUUUGGCCACGGGAAGAGCCAGGCAUUUCCUGUGUGGCUUGGGGCUCUGGUGUCCCACUUAGAAGAGUGGUCUGUAGCCUGACUUAAUGCACAUGUUUACCAAAAGGGCUACAUUUUAAGCAUCUACUCCAUAAUCCAUUGGGACUCUCCUAUAGGCUAGCAAAAAUGCUAUUCAAGUAGAAAGAGAAAUGAAAAUUCGAUCAGUGCUUCUGAAAAUAUGGAAGCAGACUAGGAUGGCCACUUAUUGCAUGAUUCCACUGAUAGGAAACAUACAGAAAAGAUUUACAAAAACCUGCCAGAACACAGAAUAGGGGUUGUCAGGGAGCGAGGGAGGAAUGGGGGAUGAGCGUUUUUGGAACAGGGUUUCCUUGUGGUGGAGGGAAUGUUCAGGAACUGGACAGUGGUGAUGAAGGCCGAGCGUUGUGACUGUACUUAACGCUCAGGAAUUGUACAAUUGAAAAGGAGAAAACGCAGAGUUCUUCAAACAGAAAUCAAUUAAUUUCAAAAUUUAUAUAAACACCAAACAAAGACAUAAACACGAAAAUAAAAAAAUGCUAAACAUACAUAGAGGGUAACCAGGGAGAGGAAGGGAGGUUGUUGUGAGGGAGAAGGUGGAAGGGAUGGGUCAGGAGCUGGGGAUGACGGGGAUUGGAGAGGGAGCUCUCCCAGGGCCAACGCUGGGGCCUGAGACCACUGCAGGGGUCCAGCAGGAGCUGGAGCAGGGGUUGGCUCUCCCUGCUCCCUGGCGACAACUUCAGCCUGCCCCAGGGCCCUGGCAGGAGCCGAAGCAGGGUAUGGCUCUCCCUGAUUCAAGGCCCCGUCUUCAGUGGGCUCCACAGACCAAGAAGGAGUCAUAGCAGGGGAUGGCACUCCCUGGUCUGAGGCCUCAUCUUCAGCAAGCUCACAGCCAGGGCAGGAGCAGGAACUGGGGAAGGCUCUCCAUGCUCAGCUGGUUCGAGGACAGCCGGCUGCAUGGCACCUGCACCAGCCUGAGUAGGGGCUGGCUCUCCCUGCUUCCGGCGUGAGGCCCCACUUGUCUCCUGCUCUUCUGCAGGAGCUGCUGAAAAGGAUUGUUCUCCCCACACACGUGCUGAGUCCUGUGAUGGCUCUGAGGUUUUUAGAAGAGUCCCUGAAGACGCCGGCCUUUUCCCCACACAUGCCACUCCAGUGUUCCUGCACAGCUUCUCCUCCCUCGGGGAGAUGGACUCCGUGUCCCCUUCCACCAGCUCCACACCCAUCUCCCGAGUGGACCUCUGCAAAGACAGUGACCAACAGCCAGCCCAGAAGCAUCAGAGCCCUGCUCAGCUGCCCCUGCUCUUUCUUCUGCCCUCUGCGCCUAAUGCUCCCAGAUCAGGCACCACCCUGUGUCUGCGCAGAAUUCUCCCCGGGAUGAAACAGAUAGACCUCAGGGGCUCGGGAGAAACCUCGGGCAGACGGUGCUGCCCGGCACACCAUGUCUCACCCAAUCAGCCAUGAGCUGGGUUGGCAAUGGGACCAGCCCACCAGGCUUCUAACCCCUCAUCAGCCUGCUCCUCCUCGCAGUGGUCCACUCAAACCACCCUUCCACAUACACACACACACACACACACGCGCACACACACACACACACACAGAGGGAGGGGACAUAGUGCUGUCCAAGUGGCCUGGCCUGGAUUGGCCCACCCUGGGCGUCCCUGUGUUACCUUUGUGUCCCUCCCCACAAACGUCCAGAGACAUCUCAAGUGGGACAGGAGCCUGCAUCUGCAUCCUGGGCGCUCGUUGCAGGCUCUGCUGAGGCUGCAGCCCCAUCAGAUGGGCAGACAACACGAAAACACGGUGCUUCUGAUGCAGGGUCAGUGAGCCGAGGAGUCGAAAGAAAGAUUUUUUGGACUCUCAAGGUCUGGCAGCGGUGCUCUUUUAUUUAGAGAAUAGUACAGAAUAGCAUGGGGACAGGAUCCAUGGGCAGUGAAGAGCUGCAGGCAUGGGGACAGGACCCAUGGGCACUGAAGAGCUGCUGCUGCUGCUGCAUGGGGACAGGACCCAUGGCCAGUCGGAGCUUCUGCUGCUGCCUGGAGUUGAGGGUUAGUGCUAAAUUUAUAAGUCAUGGGUACAUGACUUAUUUUUACUGGAAAAAGAAAAGAUGAUGUAAAAUUCAUUAAAAGAUUUCAGUGCAGAUGGGUUCUGGUUAUUGUGCGCUCAUAUAACUUUAGACAUGAAUCUGGUCAUAUAGAUUGGCAUCUAGGUGAGGAUGCCCUGGGCUUCUCUCCCUGGGGCAGCCCUAAUUCAUACCAUAAAAAUCCACCGGGUCAUAUAGUUUGGCGUGUAGGCCAGGUCACCUUGGGCUUCUCUAACUGGGGCAGCCUUAAUCCACAUCACUCCUUCUAGACAAGUGCUAGACAAGUGAGCUGUUGGGGGCUGUCUCUAGGAGCUGGGUGCCUAGAGACCAGGGUUCCAAGUUCUCUUGGGCUCAGUGAGGUCAUUUCCUGGGGUCCCCUUCCCUAGGCUUCCUGCUCACACAAGACCUCCCUAAGGGCCCCCUGGGCUGCUGACUGCUCACCCCCCAUCCCAACACCAUGGCCAUCCACAGUUGCACCAACACAGCCCAUCCCACCGCCCCCGAGGAGGCCUGGCUCGAGUCAGAAGCCAGCGUUGGGGACGCAGAGCUGGUCAGACCUGGCUCCUCCUUCUUGCCAGUGAUGUCCCCCUGGACAGCCAUGUGCCUCUCAGGGCCUCCCCAUGCCCCAAUCUGUGCGGUGCGGGUCAUUCUAGCACCUACUUGCCACGGAUGUCUUCAGGUGUCUAGACCUAUCAAUCCCUCUAGUGCCUGUCAACCCAUGGGCCGCUACCCCAUGGAGCU